AUGAGAAUCUGUUAGUGGAUGAUCCUCCUUAUGGGCUGGAAAUGUGUGUUUGCAGCUUGGAUGGUCCUCCUUAUGGGCAACCGCUGCUUUGUUGAAUGAGAAUCUGUUAGUGGGAGUUUGAACACCUGCGUUGAACAUUUCUUUAAAUGCUCCAUGAUUGAACACAUGGUAAAUUUAUUUCAUUUCAAUGUUGGUUUCAAUUGUACAGGUGACUGCAUUUUGGUAUUCUGUAUUUUGGUGUUUUUGGAGCUUUUUGGAGGAGUUGCAUAUUGUUAUUUUAUCUGCAGGUUGUUUUUAUAUACUGUUAGACUGUUAGUGGGAGUUUGAACACCUGUGUUUCAUGCAUAUUCAUAUCCAUUGAAUUGUGUGGUAUGUAUGUAAACUUUCCCAAACAUAUUAGCUCAAUUCUUAUUGAUGUUGGGGCUUUCUCUGUUCACUUCAGUUAGUAACACUUUUUCCAGCUUCCUGGAAUCAAUAUGCAGGUGAGGGUGGCGAGAUUACCACAACCCAUAUGCUUCUCGGUAUAUGGCAGAGAAGGAUUCAGCAGGCCACAAAAUACUUGCUUCCCUAGGCUUUGAUGAUGCCAAAGCCAGGGAGCUUGCAAAAUAUGCAAACGAUGAGUUUAGCUUGAGCUACAGGUAGCAAGAAAGAUUUGCUCUGUAUUUAUUUGUUGUAUCUUUAAAGUUGAUGUCUUUGAACUUCAUUCAUUGUUCUUUUCAUUCGCUACAAAUUUUCCUUUCUUUCUGUAUGAUGGUGCAAGAUUUGAAUUGCUAUUCUGUAUUGUUGUUCGUUUAAAAAAUGUCGAGUAUAUCUUUAUUAUA